rnacentral:rRNA from 1 species
AUGAUGCAACUGAGAAGUCUGUGGAUUGACAAUAUAAGUGCUGCUGAGUGUGCAAAUAUUUUUGCUACCCUGUCAAAUAUGCCACUUCUUUCCAGCUUGCUUCUUUCUGCAAGAGAUGAGAAUGAGGCACUUUGUUUCGAGGCUCUCAAGCCAAGGUCUACACAUCUCCACAAGUUGAUCGUCAGAGGGCAAUGGGCCAAGGGAACACUGGAGUGCCCGAUAUUUUGCAACUACGGGGAAAAUCUCGAGUAUCUAGCUCUAAGCUGGUGUGACGUUGUUGAAGAUCCACUAGGGAUGCUUGCACCUCACUUGCCGAACCUCACAUAUCUGAGACUUAACAACAUGCGUAGUGCAAAUAGCUUGGUUCUUUCUGCAGAUUCCUUUCCUCUGCUGAAGACGCUUGUGUUAAAGGACAUGCCUCAUGUGAACGAGCUAAAGAUCAUGGAUGGCGCCCUUCCAUGCAUUGAUGGUCUGUAUGUCGUUUCGUUGUCGAAGCUUGGCAAGGUCCCUCAAGGCAUCGAAUCCCUUGGUUCCCUGAAGAAGCUUUGGCUGCUGCGCUUGCACAGGGACUUCAAAACUUAG